AACAAACGCUGGCGGCGUGGAUAAGACAUGCAAGUCGAACGGGACAGACCGAGUAGCAAUAUUUGGAAUGUUCAGUGGCGAACGGGUGCGUAACACGUGGAUAACAUUCCGGAAAGCGGGGAAUAGCCCAGGGAAACUUGGAUUAAUACCGCAUGUGGCCGCAAGGCUAAAGACGGGGCCCGCAAGGCCUGUCACUUUCCGAUUGGUCCGCGGCCUAUCAGCUAGUUGGCGGGGUAAUGGCCCACCAAGGCUACGACGGGUAGCUGGUCUUAGAGGACGACCAGCCACACUGGAACUGAGACACGGUCCAGACACCUACGGGUGGCAGCAGUCGAGAAUCUUUCACAAUGGGGGCAACCCUGAUGGAGCGACGCCGCGUGGAGGAUAAGGUCUUCGGAUUGUAAACUCCUGUCAUGCGAGAACAAGGUACUCAGGCUAAUAACCUGAUUGUUUGAUGGUACCGCAAGAGGAAGAGACGGCUAACUCUGUGCCAGCAGCCGCGGUAAAAC
rnacentral:rRNA from 1 species